rnacentral:tRNA from 2 species
GGGCGCUUAGCUCAGCGGUGGAGCGCUCCCCUCACACGGGAGAGGCCGAAGGUUCGAAUCCUUCAGCGCCCA